UACGGAGGAUCCAAGCGUUAUCCGGAAUCAUUGGGUUUAAAGGGUCCGUAGGCGGCCUUAUAAGUCAGUGGUGAAAUCUCACGGCUCAACCGUGAAAUGGCCAUUGAUACUGUAGGGCUUGAAUUACUGGGAAGUAACUAGAAUAUGUAGUGUAGCGGUGAAAUGCUUAGAUAUUACAUGGAAUACCAAUUGCGAAGGCAGGUUACUACCAGUGGAUUGACGCUGAUGGACGAAAGCGUGGGGAGCGAACAGG
rnacentral:rRNA from 1 species